rnacentral:rRNA from 1 species
AUUGAACGCUGGCGGCAUGCUUUACACAUGCAAGUCGAACGGUAACAGGUUAAGCUGACGAGUGGCGAACGGGUGAGUAAUGCAUCGGAACGUGCCCGAUCGUGGGGGAUAACGCAGCGAAAGCUGCGCUAAUACCGCAUACGAUCUGAGGAUGAAAGCGGGGGACCGUAAGGCCUCGCGCGAUCGGAGCGGCCGAUGUCAGAUUAGGUAGUUGGUGGGGUAAAGGCUCACCAAGCAAACGAUCUGUAGCUGGUCUGAGAGGACGACCAGCCACACGGGGACUGAGACACGGCCCAGACUACUACGGGAGGAAGCAGUGGGGAAUUUUGGACAAUGGGCGAAAGCCUGAUCCAGCAAUGCCGCGUGCAGGAAGAAGGCCUUCGGGUUGUAAACUGCUUUUGUACGGAGCGAAAAGGUCUCCUCUAAUACAGGGGGCUCAUGACGGUACCGUAAGAAUAAGCACCGGCUAACUACGUGCCAGCAGCCGCCGUAA